AAUAUUAUAAAGAUAAAUAAAAAUAGUUAAGGAUAUAUUUAUCUCCUUAUAAAAAGAUUUGGUUCUUCUUCUUAAAUAUUAU